rnacentral:rRNA from 1 species
GAUGAACGCUGGCGGCGUGCCUAAUACAUGCAAGUCGAGCGAACAGACGAGGAGCUUGCUCCUCUGACGUUAGCGGCGGACGGGUGGGUAACACGUGGAUAACCUACCUAUAAGACUGGGAUAACUUCGGGAAACCGGAGCUAAUGCCGGAUAAUAUAUUGAACCGCAUGGUUCAAUAGUGAAAGACGGUUUUGCUGUCACUUAUAGAUGGAUCCGCGCCGCAUUAGCUAGUUGGUAAGGUAACGGCUUACCAAGGCAACGAUGCGUAGCCGACCUGAGAGGGUGAUCGGCCACACUGGAACUGAGACACGGUCCAGACUCCUACGGGAGGCAGCAGUAGGGAAUCUUCCGCAAUGGGCGAAAGCCUGACGGAGCAACGCCGCGUGAGUGAUGAAGGUCUUCGGAUCGUAAAACUCUGUUAUUAGGGAAGAACAAAUGUGUAAGUAACUAUGCACGUCUUGACGGUACCUAAUCAGAAAGCCACGGCUAACUACGUG